GGGCUUGACAUCCCACGAACCUGCCCGAAAAGGUGGGGUGCCCGCAAGGGAGCGUGGAGACAGGUGGUGCAUGGCUGUCGUCAGCUCGUGUCGUGAGAUGUUGGGUUAAGUCCCGCAACGAGCGCAACCCUCACCCCUAGUUGCCACCGGGUUAAGCCGAGCACUCAAGGGGAACUGCCAGCGUCAAGCUGGAGGAAGGCGGGGAUGACGUCAAGUCAUCAUGCCCCUUACGCCCUGGGCUACACACGUGCUACAAUGGCCAGCACAAAGGGACGCGAGACUGCGAAGUGGAGCUAAUCCCAAAAAGCUGGUCUAAGUUCAGAUUGCAGUCUGCAACUCGACUGCAUGAAGGAGGAAUCGCUAGUAAUCGCGCAUCAGCCCGGCGCGGUGAAUACGUUCCCGGGCCUUGUACACACCGCCCGUCACACCACGAAAGCUGUCUGUACUCGAAGUCGCUGAG
rnacentral:rRNA from 1 species